UAUGGCCUACGGGAGGCAGCAGUGGGGGAUAUUGCACAAUGGGGGGAACCCUGAUGCAGCGACGCCGCGUGAGCGAAGAAGUACCUCGGUAUGUAAAGCUCUAUCAGCAGGGAAGAAAAUGACGGUACCUGACUAAGAAGCCCCGGCUAACUACGUGCCAGCAGCCGCGGUAAUACGUAGGGGGCAAGCGUUAUCCGGAUUUACUGGGUGUAAAGGGAGCGUAGACGGCAUAGCAAGUCUGAAGUGAAAGCCCAAGGCUCAACCAUGGGACUGCUUUGGAAACUGUUAAGCUAGAGUGCUGGUGA
rnacentral:rRNA from 1 species